GACGAACGCUGGCGGCGGGCUUAACACAUGCAAGUCGAACGAAGUGGCGCACGGGUGAGUAACGCGUAAUCAACCUGCCCUUCAGAGGGGGACAACAGUGGGCCACGACUGCUAAUACCGCCUACUGAAGGAGGGGAUUGCGUCUGAUUCGCUGGUUGGGGGGGUAAAGGCCCACCAAGGCGAUGAUCAGUAGACGGGCUUGGAGGAUGAACGGCCAACAUUGGACCGAGAAACGGGCCAGACUCCGACGGGAGGCAGCAGUGGGGAAACUUCCGCAAUGGACGGAAGUCUGACGGAGGAACUCCGCCUGAGUGAUGACGGCCUUCGGGUUGUAAAGCUCUGUUAAUCGGGACGCGGUACCGGAAUAGAAAGCCACGGCUAACUACGUGCCAGCAGCCGCGGUAAUUC
rnacentral:rRNA from 1 species